rnacentral:rRNA from 1 species
AUGCUCAACGAGGGUGCUCUUCCCGACCCUUGCGGGUCCGACUACCGGAAGAACACCGAAAUUUGCUGUGCCAGGGGGGCCAACCUGCAGCAGGAAGCUCACGAUCCUCUCGUAUUCCGUGUGACGGCCGAACAUGCACAUGUCCGUAGACAAGUAGCUGCUGCAAGGUUGCCGGCACAGCAGAGGAUAGCACUUCAAGAACACCACAAACUCCUUCAUGUCGGCGACAGUCGUCUCAAGGCAACAAAGCGCUUUGCUGAGCUCGUUGCCGUCGAACACCAUGUUCUUCGGCGCCCUGGCAGAGAGGCAGAGCCGCUUGACGGGACUGAAUCGGCACAGCAUAAGCGAGCGGUCGCUCACCUCAUCUUUGGCCGUGGCGUCGCCUUCUCCGCGGCGUAUGCACGUGAGGGCGUCGAGCAUGUAGUAGCCUCUGUACAUGUCGUUCCUCAGCAUCUCGAGCUGCCGGAGCAUCGCCUGGUUGGUGAUCUGCCGCCGCUCGGCCUCCUCGACGGUGGCCUGGACUCGCAGCAGAAGGCGGCGCAGCCGUUGCAGGCUCUCUUCCGCUCCUCCGGCCUGCAGCCGGUGAUGCCUUGUUCGUUUGCUCUCUUUUAG